rnacentral:miRNA from 1 species
UGAUGAUGAUGAUGAUGAUGAUGAUGAUGACGACGAUGAUGACGAUGAUGAUGCACAGCAAUCGUGAUGCUCGUUUUCAUUUUCCUUCCUCAUCUUUUUCU